CUGUUACUGCAGGUUUGUGUUUGGAUACCUGAUGGUGUGUUUUGUCUCUCCUGCGUCUCCAGCACGAUCAGCUUUACACAUGGGCAGCCAUCUGUCAGCCUCCUCCGUCUCUGGAGAGUCUGGAGGGACACCUGAAGAGCCUGUGGCCCCUGACCAGACCCGGAGCCCAGGACCGGCCCCAACCCAAAUACACCGAGGAUGCGGUCGAGGAGCAGGAGGAGCAUCAGGCCAUUGUUUCAGACCUUAAAAAACAACAGGAAGAAGAAAUCCUGCAAAUUGAGGUAUGUCUCAUUUAUCUCUCGAAGGCCCUUAGUUUUUCCCCACAUUAAGGUCUAAAU
rnacentral:lncRNA from 1 species